UCCCUGGCAGUCCCAUGGUUAAGACUCUGCACUGCCAAUGCAGGGGCACAGGUUUGAUUCCUGGUCAGGGAA
rnacentral:tRNA from 1 species